rnacentral:rRNA from 1 species
CCCUUAGAUGUUCUGAACCGCACGCGUGUUACAAUGAUGUGUUCAACGAGCAUAUAACCUUGGCCGAGAGGCCUGGGCAAUCUUUUUAAUGCACAUCGUGUUAGGGAUAGAUUAUUGCAAUUAUUAAUCUUGAACGAGGAAUUCCUAGUAAACGCAGAUCAUCAAUCUGCAUUGAUUACGUCCCUGCCCUUUGUACACACCGCCCGUCGCACCUACCGAUUGGAUGGUCCGGUGAAGCCUCGGGAUUGUGGUUCUUGCCGCUUUAUUGUGGCGUGACCGCGAGAACUUGUCUAAACCUUAUCAUCUAGAGGAAGGUGAAGUCGUAACA